CAACAUUUUUGACAUAUCAUGAUAUCACUCAUAGAUACUUUAACAAAAGCUUUUCUUUCGUUUUUCCAUUAUCACAUCAUAAGAUUCAUCUAGAAAUCUAAAACUGACAACAACAAAAUAAGAACAAACCUUGGCACUGCUCAUUGUUGUAGGUGUGCCUUCUGAUCUAUGAAACACGACCUUUGGUGAAUAUAGCCAUCAACGUAGGCACCAGCUCGUUGUGCUUCAUA